rnacentral:rRNA from 1 species
AAGCUCGUAGUUGGAUUUCUGUUAAUUUUUAUGUAUAAUAUUGCGAUAUUUACAUAAUAUUAACAUAAUUCACAUUACUUUACAGUAUGUGGAAUUUUACUUUGAGAAAAUUAGAGUGCUUAAAGCAGGCUAUUGCCUUGAAUACUCCAGCAUGGAAUAAUAUUAAGGAUUUUUAUUCUUCUUAUUGGUUCUAGAAUGAAAAUAAUGAUUAAUAGGAACAGUUGGGGGCAUUCGUAUUUAACAGUCAGAGGUAA